rnacentral:rRNA from 1 species
AGCAGCCGCGGUAAUUCCAGCUCCAAUAGCGUAUAUUAAAGUUGUUGCAGUUAAAAAGCUCGUAGUUGAAUUUCGGGAUCAAUAUAUCGGUCGUGCCUUUGGUACGUACUGGUAUCAUUGAUUUCUCCUUUCUGACGAAUCAUGAUGUCAUUAAUUUGGUGUUAUGAGGAGUUAGGACUGUUACUUUGAAAAAAUUAGAGUGUUUAAAGCAGGCAUUAGCUUGAAUACAUUAGCAUGGAAUAAUGAAAUAGGACGUUUGACCCUAUUUUGUUGGUUUUUAGGAUCGACGUAAUGAUUAAUAGGGAUAGUUGGGGGCAUUAGUAUUCAAUUGUCAGAGGUGAAAUUCUUGGAUUUAUUGAAGACUAACUACUGCGAAAGCAUUUGCCAAGGAUGUUUUCAUUAAUCAAGAACGAAAGUUAGGGGAUCGAAGACGAUCAGAUACCGUCGUAGUCUUAACCAUAAACUAUGCCGACUAGGGAUCGGAUGAUGUUAAUUUUAUAAUGACUCAUUC